GUUAGGAAUAUUGGACAAUGGGCGAAAGCCUGAUCCAGCCAUGCCGCGUGAACGAUGAAGGCCUUCGGGUUGUAAAGUUCUUUAGCCGAUGAUUAUAAUGACUGUAGUCGGAAAAUAAGCCCCGGCUAACUUCGUGCCAGCAGCCGCGGUAAUACGAAGGGGGCGAGCGUUAUUCGGAAUCACUGGGCGUAAAGCGUGCGUAGGCGGUUUUGUAAGUUAGGAGUGAAAGCCCAGGGCUCAACCUUGGAAUUGCUCUUAAAACUGCAAGGCUCGAAUCUCGGAGAGGAUAGCGGAAUUUCCAGUGUAGCAGUGAAAUGCGUAGAUAUUGGAAGGAACACCAGUGGCGUAAGCGGCUAUCUGGACGAGUAUUGACGCUGAGGCACGAAAGCGUGGGGAGCAAACAGGAUUAGAUACCCUAGUAGUCC
rnacentral:rRNA from 1 species